rnacentral:rRNA from 1 species
GACCGGCGCACGGGUGAGUAACACGUAUCCAACCUGCCGUCUACUCUUGGACAGCCUUCUGAAAGGAAGAUUAAUACAAGAUGGCAUCAUGAGUCCGCAUGUUCACAUGAUUAAAGGUAUUCCGGUAGACGAUGGGGAUGCGUUCCAUUAGAUAGUAGGCGGGGUAACGGCCCACCUAGUCUUGGAUGGAUAGGGGUUCUGAGAGGAAGGUCCCCCACAUUGGAACUGAGACACGGUCCAAACUCCUACGGGAGGCAGCAUG